ensembl:lncRNA
CCGUCGCAGAGGUAGAGCGGGAAAGUCGGAGUACCGUGGCGCUCCUCCCGGGGCUGUCCGCAGUGAUGGAGGAGGUGGAGGCUGAGGAGCAGCAGCAGUACUCUCACCGGCAGAGGCUCAAGGCAGCAGUUCACUACACGGUCGGCUGUCUCUGCCAGGAGGUGGAGCUGGACAAACAGGUGCACUUGAGCAAACAGACCAUUGCGGCCAUCUCCGAGAAAAUUUUGCCAAAGACCUUGAAAUGUUUGCCAGGUGGGUAGAGAAGCCGGCUGUGUAAUCUGAGGUCCAUUGACAUCAUGGUCCGCAUCUGGCGGUGUUUUUUGGGGUUCUUGUUUCCUGGGGGUUUGUGGCUGAUCAUGAUCUGCAGGGAAUUAACAUCUGCUCUGAAGGCAUCGGUUCAGACCAGCUUGGUAUUUCUGGGUUGGUUUUUGCUGGUCUCCAAGUUACGCAGCUCUGAAUUGCAGCCCCAGGACUCUGCACGUGUGUGGCUGCCUGUUGUAAACUGUUUCUUGGGAUGGUUUGAUGGUCA